AUGAACUCUUCUCUAGGAUCAAUGAUUGUGUUAUUCUUAUUAUUUGGAGGAAAUGAUGGAGACACAGUGACCCAGACAAAAGGCCAAGUGACCCUCUCUGAAGGGGAUUUUCUGACUGUGAACUGCUCCUAUACAGCCACACAGUACCCUGCCCUUUUCUGGUAUGUCCAAUAUCCCGACAAAGGUCUGCAGCUUCUCCUGAAAGCCACAAAGGCCAAUGACAAAGGAAGCAACAAAGGUUUUGAAGCCACAUACGAUAAACAAACAUCUUCCUUCCAUCUGGAGAAAGCCUCAGUCCAAGUGUCAGACUCGGCUGUGUACUAUUGUGCCCUGAGUGACACAGUGACAGGAACUGCAGAGGGAGCUGAGUACAAACUCUGA